GGGGGGGGAGCCUACACAUGCAAGUCGAGCGGUAACAGAUCCAGCUUGCUGGAUGCUGACGAGCGGCGGACGGGUGAGUAAUGCAUAGGAAUCUGCCCGGUAGUGGGGGAUAACCUGGGGAAACCCAGGCUAAUACCGCAUACGUCCUACGGGAGAAAGGGGGCUUUGGCUCCCGCUAUCGGAUGAGCCUAUGUCGGAUUAGCUAGUUGGUGAGGUAACGGCUCACCAAGGCCACGAUCCGUAGCUGGUCUGAGAGGAUGAUCAGCCACAUCGGGACUGAGACACGGCCCGAACUCCUACGGGAGGCAGCAGUGGGGAAUAUUGGACAAUGGGGGGAACCCUGAUCCAGCCAUGCCGCGUGUGUGAAGAAGGCCCUCGGGUUGUAAAGCACUUUCAGCGAGGAAGAACGCCUAGCGGUUAAUACCCGCUAGGAAAGACAUCACUCGCAGAAGAAGCACCGGCUAACUCCGUGCCAGCAGCCGCGGUAAUACGGAGGGUGCAAGCGUUAAUCGGAAUUACUGGGCGUAAAGCGCGCGUAGGUGGCUUGAUAAGCCGGUUGUGAAAGCCCCGGGCUCAACCUGGGAACGGCAUCCGGAACUGUCAAGCUAGAGUGCAGGAGAGGAAGGUAGAAUUCCCGGUGUAGCGGUGAAAUGCGUAGAGAUCGGGAGGAAUACCAGUGGCGAAGGCGGCCUUCUGGACUGACACUGACACUGAGGUGCGAAAGCGUGGGUAGCAAACAGGAUUAGAUACCCUGGUAGUCCACGCCGUAAACGAUGUCGACCAGCCGUUGGGUGCCUAGCGCACUUUGUGGCGAAGUUAACGCGAUAAGUCGACCGCCUGGGGAGUACGGCCGCAAGGUUAAAACUCAAAUGAAUUGACGGGGGCCCGCACAAGCGGUGGAGCAUGUGGUUUAAUUCGAUGCAACGCGAAGAACCUUACCUACUCUUGACAUCCUGCGAAUUCGGUAGAGAUACCUUAGUGCCUUCGGGAACGCAGAGACAGGUGCUGCAUGGCUGUCGUCAGCUCGUGUUGUGAAAUGUUGGGUUAAGUCCCGUAACGAGCGCAACCCUUGUCCUUAUUUGCCAGCGCGUAAUGGCGGGAACUCUAAAGAGAACUGCCGGUGACAAACCCGG
rnacentral:rRNA from 1 species